GGGAGGGUAGCAUAGUCUGGUGGUGCUCUCGACUGAUAAUCGAGUGGUCCUGGGUUCAAAUCCCAGCCUUCCCA
rnacentral:tRNA from 1 species